UCGUGCCCGUCCAAGUCCAACGAACUCAGUCCUCCUCCUUCCUCGCUCGCCUUUGCACUCCGACCUUCGAUUCCGGUGCGCAGUUCUCGAGCUCCCGCGCACCUGUCGAUCCGAGCCGUCCGGUGAAAUCGCCUCGCCGGCGCCAUUGCCAUGGGCUGCUCCUCUUCGCUUCCGGAUAGGGCUUCUGGAAGAUUGAGCGAGCUCAAUGCAGAGAACGGUUCAGUGAAUGAUGCAAAGAACCUGCGUGUUAAGGAGCCAGGGACUUUGAGCUUUGCAAGAUUCUACAACAGUUAAGUUUGAAAUAUGGGACACUGCUAGUCAAGAGAGGUAU